ensembl:lncRNA
CAUGUCAGUGUGGAGCUAAACUAGACAAUAAAGUGCUGUGUACUCUUUUCUGUCAGGAUAAAGUAUAUGACAGUCGGUACACUGAAGUCCAGCCUGAGCUCUGAGGAAAAGCAGCAGCUACACAAACAGCUUAAAGUGCACAAAAAUCUGGAGACUGAUUCAUGUAGGCUUCAUCAAAGAAGUGAAACUGGCUGACAGACUGAAGGAUACUUUGAAGUACUGGAAGCAUCUGUGAUUGUAAUUAAACUCAAACAUAUGCUCUAACAUGAGUCCUGUGUGCGUUUCUUUUUUCAAACAAACAAUAAAACUGUUUUUGUGGUUUAAUGUUUCUGAAACAGUUUUAAAACAUUUAACACAGAAAAGAUUAUAGGAUGUGGAUGAGUGCAUCUAACUAAACAGACUCUUAAAAUAAUCCCACCAGUUCACACUGAAUGCAUCUGGUGAACAUGUCAUCACAGUGGUGUCUUCAGUGCAGUAGUACUGCUCCUGCAGAUACUUCCUGUCAGAUUUCUGUCCUGUAGACGGAUCACUGAGACAGGCAUUAAAGUGAACGGUGGCUUUAAACCUGGAAGAGAGGAGCACCAGGGACAGAGCCAAGGCGACGACAGAGAACGGGACACUUUCACUCUCUUCUGGGAGGAUGAACGGGAUGACGAUGCGGUUUCUUCCUGGUGGACCAUGUUUUGUUGAGAGAGACUUAAAUGUUUCCCACACACCGUCAUUUGGCUGCAGAGGGCUAACAAUGAUGUUUGGGAUGUUCCGUCCUUUAGCUUUCUUCAGUGAGUUCCAGUAGUCUGGCAGGUUCAGGGGUUGAUAUUUGUCAAAAAGAAUUCUACUGUGGAGAAAAAACGGUAGUGAACGGUAAAAAACUCUGUGCUGUGGCCUCAUUUUUCCUGUUGCAAUGCCAUAGGUUACAGCACCAGUGGUGCCACAGUUCCAGGGAGAGUACAGGACCAGGUCAGUGAUGGUGGGCAGAGGCAGCAAACAGCUGGCUGGGAUCAUGGAGUCUCUGAUUGAUCCAUGUGCCACAAAGAUUAUGUCAACAGUGUCACUGUGGUUCUUCUUUUCUUCUUCAUCAAUUUUACUUUUCAGGAAAUCAAACAUGUCUGAGAGUUUUCUGAAGGUGCCAGACUCUGAAUUUUCUCUCAGCCACUGCAGGACAGUUUCAUCUUUGCAGUUUUCUAUUGCAAGGUUUAUUAAUCUUUUCCUUUCAGCAGAGCUCCUGGGACUUUCAGGGCGACAUGCAGCAUUCCGAUUUGCCCUUUUAUUAGAAAAGAACAAAGAACGAAGAUUAGCAAGUGCAGACAGCUUUGACUGGAUCAGUGUGAUACUAAAGAAAACUGAACCUUUAAGUGUCUGAGUGAGAUCAUAA